GAUGAACGCUGGCGGCGUGCCUAAUACAUGCAAGUCGAGCGAACAGACGAGGAGCUUGCUCCUCUGACGUUAGCGGCGGACGGGUGAGUAACACGUGGAUAACCUACCUAUAAGACUGGGAUAACUUCGGGAAACCGGAGCUAAUACCGGAUAAUAUAUUGAACCGCAUGGUUCAAUAGUGAAAGACGGUUUUGCUGUCACUUAUAGAUGGAUCCGCGCCGCAUUAGCUAGUUGGUAAGGUAACGGCUUACCAAGGCAACGAUGCGUAGCCGACCUGAGAGGGUGAUCGGCCACACUGGAAAUGAGACCCGGUCCAGACUCCUACGGGAGGCAGCAGUAGGGAAUCUUCCGCAAUGGGCGAAAGCCUGACGGAGCAACGCCGCGUGAGUGAUGAAGGUCUUCGGAUCGUAAAACUCUGUUAUUAGGGAAGAACAAAUGUGUAAGUAACUAUGAACGUCUUGACGGUACCUAAUCAGAAAGCCACGGCUAACUACGUG
rnacentral:rRNA from 1 species